rfam:Ixodes scapularis strain Wikel colony gcontig_1108378264044, whole genome shotgun sequence.
GCCUCGGUGGCUCCGGGGCGAGAGCGCCGGCCUACGGAUCCCAGGUGGCGGGUUCGAAUCCCGGCCGAGGUG